UGGGUCUCGGCCCGAAACGUCAGCUUUUGCGCUCGUAAGACGCUGCUUGGCUUGCUGCAUUCAUCCAGCUCCACAUUUAGCUAUUUCGAAAUAAUGUUGCAGGUCGUCGGUCUUGUGCCGCUUAGUGUUUGGACGAGAAGACUGCCUUUCACAUUCUUUGUACUCAAGUGUUUUUUUUAAAAUGCGUGACCCUGUGAAAACUGAGGGUAAAGAAACUUAAAGGAGAGUGUGGUGAUGUCUUUCACGAAGCUCAUAUUUUCAUGGAGUACAGAUUACGAUUUUUGAAAUAAACUCACAGCAUGAACAAAGACCGUUUAGAUGAAACCAGAAGUGGGUUUUAAACAUAAAACAUUCAAAGUGCGAGGGAAUUGCCUGCUUACCUCUAUUGACUCGUAUCAUGUGAGAAAGAGAGCGAUUUCAGGUACUCAUAGCCCACCUCACUCAGACUGAGUGGAUGUGAUGAGAUGUGUCCCACAGUGGUCUGUGCUGGAACCAGAACAUGUUACAAGUUACACCAAUGGCUUAUGACAGGAUAACUACAUGGUAACUGAAUUCACAGAUGACACAAAGGAGAAGGGAAACAGAGAAAGGCAGAACAUAAGAAAAUGAAAUAGACAAAUGGGUUAUGAUCAAGGAACAGUUUGGGAGAGGUAGCAAACUGAAGCAGAAGUAAGAGAGAUAAUGGGAACUGCAGAUGCUGGAGAUUCCAAGAUAAUAAAAUGUGAGGCUGGAUGAACACAGCAGGCCAAGCAGCAUCUCAGGAGAAAUGCUGCCAGACCUGCCGAGUUUUCUGAUUUGAUGUGAUUUCCAGCACCUGCAGUUCUUCAGUUUUUGUUAUAAGUUCUCCCUCUGGCUGUGUUAAAAUCCAAUAGCUUUAAUAUAUUCAAACUGGGUCAUAUGACCUCUUCUUGAAUACACUGUAGACUUAGUGGCUGCAGUUGAGAAGCAUAUACUGUUUGCAAAUCCAUCAAUUUAUCCUUCUGUAGCCAGUCUAUUUUGCUUCACAAAGUACGCUGUCCAAGAUAUGGAUAUAUUUCUAGUCAAUUAUAUUCUAAAAUAUUUCAGGUAAGGGAAACACAAACAAUAGGAAGAGCAGACCAUUUGGCCUUUUGAGCCUACCCCUCUACUCAAUACGAUCACAUCUGAUCAUCUAAUCCAUUACCCAGUUCCAAUUUUUUCUUCAUAUCCUUUGAUCCCUUUUGCUCUAAGAACUAUCUCUAAAUGCUUCUUGGAAUUAUAAAAUUAUUCAAUGUUUAGAUCUCAACUGCUUUCUGUGGCAAAGAAUCUCACACAUUCCCAUUGUCUGGGUGAAGAAAUUUCUCAUCUCAGUCCUAAACGGCUUACUCCAUAUCCUUAAACUGUGACCUCGUUGUGGACUCCCUAGUCACUGGGAACAUUGUUCUGGCGUUUAUCCUGUCUAGAUUUGUUAUAAUUUUAUACAAAGAACACAACUCAUUCUUCUAAACUCCAGUGAUUAUAGUCUCUCCUCAUACAUCAGUCCUGCUACCCCAGGAAUCAGUCUGGAGAACUUUCAUUGCACUCCCUCCAAUGCCAGAACACUCCUCCUCAGAUAAGGAGGUCAAAACUCCACACAAUACUCCACUGUGGCCUCACUAAGGACGUGCAUAAUUGCAGUAAGACAUCCCUGCUCCUGGACUUGAAUUCUCUCUCUAUAAAGGCUGACAAACUAUUUGUCUUUUUUAUCAUCUGCAUGUUUACUUUCAGUGACUAGUGUACAAACACUGCACGUUCCCCCUUUGAUGAUCUAUUUCCUUUGAGACAAUAAUUUGCUUUCCUCUUUUUGCUACUGAAGUGGAUAACCACUCGUUUAUCCACAUUAUACUUCAUCUGCCAUGCAUGUGCCCAAGCAGAUACUUUUUAAAAUGUUGUAAUUGUACCCACCUCCAUCACCUCCUUUGGUAGUUUGUUCCAUAUGCGCAUCACCUUCUGCAUGAAAGUGUUGCCCUCAUCUGCAAACUUCCUCACCAUACCUCCUAUAAUCACAUCCAAAUCAUUUACAUAAAAUGACAAAAAGUAGUGGACCCACACUGAUCCUCACAGCACAUCACUGGUCACAGGCCUCCUGUUCAAAAAACAACCCCCUACCACCAUUCUUUGUCUCCUAUCUUCAAGCCAAUUUUGUCUCCAAUUGGAUAGCUCUCCUUGGAUUGCACAUGAUCUAACCAUGCUAACCAGUCUACUAUGCAGAACCUUGUCGAAUGCCUUGCUGAAGUCCAUAUAGACAACGUCAGUCAAAAGGUUCCAGGCCAGAAGAUAAAACUGCAAAAGGGCUAGUUAAAGCUGAGAAAGUUUAAGCUCAGUUACAUGAAGGCUCCAAAAAGAUUGUCAGAUUCUUGAGACCAGAUAUUUAAACUAUUGUAAAAUGAAGCCCUAAAUGUAUUAACAGGAAGAGAUUUCUCUCUGGUGUGAGGACUUUAAAGGUUUUUUUUGGGAUAACUGAGACUAUGUUU